rnacentral:rRNA from 1 species
AGUGAACGCUGGCGGUAGGCCUAACACAUGCAAGUCGAACGGCAGCACAGUAAGAGCUUGCUCUUACGGGUGGCGAGUGGCGGACGGGUGAGGAAUACAUCGGAAUCUACUUUUUCGUGGGGGAUAACGUAGGGAAACUUACGCUAAUACCGCAUACGACCUACGGGUGAAAGCAGGGGAUCUUCGGACCUUGCGCGAUUGAAUGAGCCGAUGUCGGAUUAGCUAGUUGGCGGGGUAAAGGCCCACCAAGGCGACGAUCCGUAGCUGGUCUGAGAGGAUGAUCAGCCACACUGGAACUGAGACACGGUCCAGACUCCUACGGGAGGCAGCAGUGGGGAAUAUUGGACAGUGGGCGCAAGCCUGAUCCAGCCAUACCGCGUGGGUGAAGAAGGCCUUCGGGUUGUAAAGCCCUUUUGUUGGGAAAGAAAAGCAGCAGGUUAAUACCCCGCUGUUCUGACGGUACCAAAAGAAUAAGCACCGGCUAACUUCGU